GGACAUUCAGCAGGAGGCAGGCACUGGGCAGGUGUUCUGCAUACAUUAAAAUCUAAUUGAAUCCUCACAACAGCUCCACGGAACAGUUGUCAAGGCUGACCCAGAACCUAAGGGAGACAGACCAGAGGGAUAAAUCCAGAGAUAGAAAUGAGGUGUGGGGAGGUAAAAAGGAAGUGACCUGUCCCACAGUGAAUCUGCAGAAAAGCCAGUGAAGACCAGGUGGAUGAAAAUGAGGCUGGGGCCAUGCCCAUGGGGAGAUGUUGGACGAUGCUUGAGUGCAAGAUGGCAGCAGGCCGGGAGAGGCCCAGAAGAGAACUCACCACGCCGUGGGGUUCCUUAAUGACAUGGGGUGUCAAGCAUCUUUUCAUAUGCUUAUUUGCCAUCUGGAUAUCUUCUCUGAAGAGGUAACUGUUCAAAUCUUUCGCCCACUUUUUAAUUGGGUUGUUUGUUUUCUUAUUGUUGAGUUUUAAGAGUUCAUUGUACAUUUUGGAAACAAGCCCUUUAUCAGAUAAGUGUUUUGCAAGCACUUUCUCCCAGUCUGUGGCUUGUCUGUUCAUUCUCUUAAAAUAUACUGUAUUCACGUUAAAAUGAAACUUCAUAUCACAAUGGUAAUGGGGAAAGCAGAAUACUUUGCCAUGAAAGAAGGUAACCAUAAAAAUUUAAA
rnacentral:lncRNA from 1 species